rnacentral:rRNA from 1 species
UACGAAGGACCCGAGCGUUAUCCGGAUUUAUUGGGUUUAAAGGGUGCGUAGGCGGAUUAUUAAGUCAGUGGUGAAAGCCUACAGCUUAACUGUAGAAUUGCCAUUGAUACUGAUGAUCUUGAGUGUGAUUGAAGUGGGCGGAAUGUGUCAUGUAGCGGUGAAAUGCUUAGAUAUGACACAGAACACCGAUUGCGAAGGCAGCUCACUAAGUCAAUACUGACGCUGAUGGACACGAAAGACGUAGGGGAGCGGAA